UACAUAACCAUCACACCCAUCACUUUUAAUUUUGAAGUUUUCAUUUCGGUUAUAUCAUCAAAGAUGUCUAAAGCUUCCGUUCUUGCUAUCUUCAUGGUCGUCCUUGUUCUAGGACUGGUGAUAAAGGAGACGCAAGGACAAGAACUGUGUCAUGAAUAUUUUCAGUUAACCGCACCAUGUGAAAAACAACAGUGUAUCGAUAUGUGUAGUUCGAAGUACAAGACUGGAAAAGGCGUUUGCGGGCCAGCGGUCCAUCAAUGCUUCUGCACUUUUAGUUGCACAGUUUAAUUUUUAUGUUUCUCUCUAUAAACAAUUCUCAAUUCUAAUAAAAAAAUAUAUAUAUA